rnacentral:rRNA from 1 species
CCUACGGGGGGCUGCAGUCGAGAAUCAUUCACAAUGGGGGAAACCCUGAUGGUGCGACGCCGCGUGGGGGAAUGAAGGUCUUCGGAUUGUAAACCCCUGUCAUGUGGGAGCAAAUUAAAAAGAUAGUACCACAAGAGGAAGAGACGGCUAACUCUGUGCCAGCAGCCGCGGUAAUACAGAGGUCUCAAGCGUUGUUCGGAAUCACUGGGCGUAAAGCGUGCGUAGGCUGUUUCGUAAGUCGUGUGUGAAAGGCGAGGGCUCAACCCGCGGACGGCACAUGAUACUGCGAGACUAGAGUAAUGGAGGGGGAACCGGAAUUCGCGGUGUAGCAGUGAAAUGCGUAGAGAUAGAGAGGAACACUCGUGGCGAAGGCGGGUUCCUGGACAUUAACUGACGCUGAGGCACGAAGGCCAGGGGAGCGAAAGGGAUUAGAUACCCUUGUAGUC